AUUGAACGCUGGCGGCAGGCCUAACACAUGCAAGUCGAGCGAGAGGCGGACGGGUGAGAAAUGUCUGGGAAACUGCCUGAUGGAGGGGGAUAACUACUGGAAACGGGAGCUAAUACCACAUACCAUCAGAUGUGCCCAGAUGGGGUUAGCUAGUAGGUGGGGUAACGGCUCACCUAGGCGACGAUCACUAGCUGGUCUGAGAGGAUGACAAGCCACACUGGAACUUAGACACGGUCCAGACUCCUACGGGAGGCAGCAGUGGGGAAUAUUGCACAAUGGGCGCAAGCCUGAUGCAGCCAUGCCGCGUGUGUGAAGAAGGCCUUCGGGUUGUAAAGCACUUUCAGCGGGGAGGCGUUACCCGCAGAAGAAGCACCGGCUAACUCCGUGCCAGCAGCCGCGGUAAUUC
rnacentral:rRNA from 1 species